UGUUUCGGCUAGGGGGCCAUCCCGGCUUACCAACCCGAUGCAAACUGCGAAUACCGGAGAAUGUUAUCACGGGAGACACACGGCGGGUGCUAACGUCCGUCGUGAAGAGGGAAACAACCCAGACCGCCAGCUAAGGUCCCAAAGUCAUGGUUAAGUGGGAAACGAUGUGGGAAGGCCCAGACAGCCAGGAUGUUGGCUUAGAAGCAGCCAUCAUUUAAAGAAAGCGUAAUAGCUCACUGGUCGAGUCGGCCUGCGCGGAAGAUGUAACGGGGCUAAACCAUGCACCGAAGCUGCGGCAGCGACGCUUAUGCGUUGUUGGGUAGGGGAGCGUUCUGUAAGCCGUUGAAGGUGUGCUGUGAGGCAUGCUGGAGGUAUCAGAAGUGCGAAUGCUGACAUAAGUAACGAUAAAGCGGGUGAAAAGCCCGCUCGCCGGAAGACCAAGGGUUCCUGUCCAACGUUAAUCGGGGCAGGGUGAGUCGACCCCUAAGGCGAGGCCGAAAGGCGUAGUCGAUGGGAAACAGGUUAAUAUUCCUGUACUUGGUGUUACUGCGAAGGGGGGACGGAGAAGGCUAUGUCGGCCGGGC
rnacentral:rRNA from 1 species